AGAAGGUCAUGAUGAAUGAGAAACUGAGUUGGUGACAACCCAAUAACAUAAUUUAAUAAUGACCGCGGGGACACCUGCUGUGAAGACAAUGACAAAAAUCAAGAGACUUGGCUUAUUUCUGGAUAUUCCACUGAUGGGUUUCUCGGUCCUUAAUAUUUUCAAGCUAAAAUGCAGUAUUGGGGCCUGCUAAAUGUGUGACACAGAAGAAGCAACCUUUGGUUUUUUGCCUGCUUGACCUCACUCUUGCUAGCAAGUUCAUCAACCUUGCAGCUGAAGUAUUCCCUGCCUGAUAUUGGAACCUACUUCUUUGGGAUUCCAACAUAUACUGAAGAUCAUCUGAGACAUCCUGUUAUCAGAUUCCUAAACUUUCCAUAGUCAUUGUUGGACUAGGUGACCAUGGCGUAGAAUCCUGACUAAUACGAGUACUGUCAUGGGGAAAGAAAUGUCUUCUUUUCACUUGCUAAAUGCAGCUUUCUUAACAAUUUCUUCUGCUCACAAAAUCUUCAUGGUAAACCUACCUAGAUGUGCACACAAAUAGAAAACGGUGGCAACAUGACUUGGAAAUCUCCUAUUCCUCUCUUUCUUCCACGGAGAAAGCAAGCCAGCCUCAUUCCAGCUAUUCCCUGCCAAGAGGUUCUGAGUACUCACCAUGUAAUAAUAAAGCAGGCUUUCUGGGCCACAGGAAAGGGAACACGAGUAAGGAUAAUUACUGCAGAACGCCGUGUAUAAUUACAGGACUCCUGUACUUCAACCAGAAUAGAACUCCUAAUUGUCUCCAAUGUCUAACUUCAUAAAAUCAUGAACAGUUUACAAAGAAAUUACACAGAGUGGUAAAACCUUAGACUAUUGGAAUAAUUUUU